rnacentral:rRNA from 1 species
UAGUUGGUAGGGUAAGAGCCUACCAAGGCAGAGAUCGGUAGCCGGCCUGAGAGGGCACACGGCCACACUGGCACUGAAACACGGGCCAGACUCCUACGGGAGGCAGCAGUGGGGAAUCUUGCACAAUGGGGGCAACCCUGAUGCAGCGACGCCGCGUGAGCGAUGAAGCCCUUCGGGGUGUAAAGCUCUUUCGGCAGGGAAGAUGAUGACGGUACCUGCAGAAGCAGCUGCGGCUAACUACGUGCCAGCAGCCGCGGUAAUACGUAGGCAGCGAGCGUUGUUCGGAGUUACUGGGCGUAAAGGGUGUGUAGGCGGUUCUUUAAGUUUGGUGUGAAAUCUCCCGGCUCAACCGGGAGGGUGCGCCGAAUACUGAGGGACUAGAGUACGGGAGAGGAAAGUGGAAUUCCUGGUGUAGCGGUGAAAUGCGUAGAUAUCAGGAGGAACACCGGUGGUGUAGACGGCUUUCUGGACCGUAACUGACGCUGAGACACGAAAGCGUGGGUAGCAAACAGGAUUAGAUACCCUGGUAGUCCACGCCCUAAACGAUGCAUAUUUGGUGUGGGCAGUUCAUUCUGUCUGUGCCGGAGCUAACGCGUUAAAUAUGCCGCCUGGGGAGUACAGUCGCAAGGCUGAAACUCAAAGGAAUUGACG